AUUGAACGCUGGCGGCAGGCCUAACACAUGCAAGUCGAACGAGUGGCGGACGGGUGAGUAAUGUCUGGGACACUGCCCGAUGGAGGGGGAUAACUACUGGAAACGGUUGCUAAUACCGCAUACCAUCGGAUGUUCCCAGAUGGGAUUAGCUAGUAGGUGGGGUAACGGCUCACCUAGGCGACGAUCCCUAGGUGGUCUGAGAGGAUGACCAGCCACACUGGAACUGAGACACGGUCCAGACUCCUACGGGAGGCAGCAGUGGGGAAGAUUGCGCAAGGGGCGGAAGCCUGAUGCAGCCAUGCCGCGGGUAUGGAGAAGGCCUUCGGGUUGUAAAGGACUUUCUGCGAGGUGGCGGUAAUCGCAGAAGAAGCACCGGCUAAAUCCGUGCCAACAGCCGCGGUAAUAC
rnacentral:rRNA from 1 species